UACAGAGGUCCCAAGCGUUGUUCGGAUUCACUGGGCGUAAAGGGUGCGUAGGCGGUCGGGUAAGUCUGACGUGAAAUACCGGAGCUCAACUCCGGAAUGGCGUCGGAAACUAUUCGGCUGGAGGAUUGGAGGGGGGACUGGAAUUCUCGGUGUAGCAGUGAAAUGCGUAGAUAUCGAGAGGAACACCUGUGGCGAAGGCGAGUCCCUGGACAAUUCCUGACGCUGAGGCACGAAAGCUAGGGGAGCAAACAGG
rnacentral:rRNA from 1 species